UUUUUCAUUCAGAAAUAAAGUUUAUAUUAAAAACUAUUUUUCAUCCACAAGUUUUCUAAAUACAGAAGCAUUACAAAAAAAUUUUUAUUUCGUUUAUAGUGUAAAAGAAAAUCACAGAAUUUUACAAAGUUAAAGAGCAACAAAGUCAACGUGUUUCAAAAAAGUAAGUAACAUUUUUAAAGCGAUGGAUUCUUAGUAUUUAAAGUGCGUAGAUUUUUGAGGGAACAUUGUUAUUACUUUCGCAGGCAAUAACUGAAUAUACAAAAUGGCGCGAAAUAUCAGUAAACUACGGUGUAUGAAGUGGCAAUGGUGUAAAAAAACAAUGAUGACUUUAACAAGAUAAUGAUGACAACAAAAAGUUGCUAUGAAAAAAAAUGACUGACGCAGAGAGGUUGUUCCAAGGUACCAAUUUGAAAAAGUAAAAAAUUAAUGGCACUGAGACAGACACGUAAAAAUAGCUUCUCUAAUCAAAACAAUAUGAAAAGUAUUGUCUUGAAGGAGUUGACCACGAUGGAUUUGAAAAAUUUCGUAUUAAUGAGUUCAUUUGUAAGUUGGU